ACCGAGGGCCGCCGAGCGCAAGGUAAGUUGUGCAGGCCGGGAAGGUGGGGGCGCCGGCAUGGGACGUUCAGGUUUGGUGGACUGGCGCCGAGGCCGGCCGGGCUGACAGCUGCAGGGCCCGGGCGGGGGAUGCGGGGGAAGGCGGAGCCGACCUCAGGCUGCCUCUCUGCAACCCCCUCGCUCCCAGGCUCGCCUUCCCGCGCCCACGCUGUACACCCAACGGAGGCAUCUUCCCCAAGCCCAGCUCGGAGAGGAUUAGUUUAGCACCUACUGUGUACCAGGCCCCCUCGUAGGAGUCAGUUAGCGUCGGGAAGGGCUGGAUACUCCAAGGGCUCGCUCAUUAAAGGUUCGCAACCUCUCCUUUCUCAUCCCCAUUUUACAUAGGAGGAGACUGAGGAGCAGAGAAGUAACAGCGGGUAGUAUUUCAAGGGAUGACUAAGAGAAGAUGUCAGCGGACUUGAAGAGCUGUCAGCUCCAUUAGGGGAGAUGAGCGAAGGCUGACUCUCUGCCAGGUGCUGAGCUAGGCAUUCUUUCCCCCAUGAUGUGCUUGAGGAAAUGAAGGGUCAGACACCUGGAGUAAUUUGUGUAGGAUCACUCUGCUAGGAAGGGGCCGAGCUGUCACUCCCGUCCUCCAUUGUCCAGCCUCCUGGCCAAAAGACAACCUGGAAAAGGCUGUCAAAGGCUCAGGCAGAAGGUUGCAGGAGCCCAGAGAGGGGAGAAAUGCGCUCUUUAGAAAAAUUCGGGUGGCUUCAAGGAGGAGGGGAAGUUUAAGUGGACAGUGAGAGGGUUGAGUGUGGCUGGAAGUGGAGAUAGGGGAAGAAGGAGCAAGAGGGAUUGGAAGAGGGCUCUAUCACCCAGGCCUUGUAUUCCAAGCCCAGGCGUGCACAUGUCAUCCCACUGGCAGCUGGGAGUCAUGGUGAGUCUUUAAACAGGGGGGUGAGCUAACCCAGCCUUCACGGAGGAGGUGACAUUGGAGCAUGUGGUAGUGGCAGCCACAGCAGCUGUCGCUCAGGGAAUGGAGGAGGUUUUAGGAGGAGAAGUAGCAAAUGCUUCCAGAGCUGUGUACUUUUCCACGGAUCAUCUGAUAACCACCGCUUCCAAGAGGCAGAACUUCAUCCUCAUCCUCUAAUGGACUAUGGAAAGAAGAAAAACAGUCCUUUUACAGUGAAGAAACUCAGCAGAUGCUCCCUCAACAUCGCUGGUGGUAAGUCUUGUGGCUACUGGGUACCCCCUGAUACAAUGACAGGGGCACCUCACCUCUGUGAUCUUUUACCCAAAAACUAAUAACCUCAGUCUCAUGAGAAAAACAUCAGACAAACUCAGAUGAGGGGCAUUCUACAAAAUACGUGAGCAGCACUCUUCGAAUGUGUCAAGGUCGUGAAAAACAAGAAAAGACUCAGAACUGUUAGGGACCAGAGGAGCCUCAGGAGAUGACGGAGACUGAAUGCCAUGUGGGAUGCCGGAUGAGAUCAUGGAACAGAAAAAGGGCAUUAGUGGGAAACUGGCGAAAUCCUAAUAGAGUCUGUCGUCCAGCUAAUAAUGUUUUACUAAUGUUAACUUUUUAGUUUUGACAAAUGUAGCAUGAUUAUGUAAGAUGUUCACAUUAGGGGAAGGUGGGGGAAGAGUAUGGGAACUUUGUGGAACUUUGCUGUAAAUCUAAAAUCACUAAACAAAAAUUAUUCAAAAAAUCAGGGUGUAGAUAUUUAUUAGUAUAGAAAUGUAUUCACAACAUAUUAAGGGGAAAGUAUGUAUGGCCUCACAUAGUUUUUGCUGAAUGAGACCGUAUUUGUAAAAACUCUAAUAACAAGGUGUAUGUCUACAUGAAUGUGUAUAUAUGCACAUGUAGGCUGGGCACGGUGGCUCAUGCCUGUAAUCCCAGCACUUUGGGAGGCCAGGGUGGGCGGAUCACCUGAGGUUAGGAGUUCGAGACCAGCCUGGCCAACAUGGUGAAACCCCAUCUCUACUAAAGAUACAAAAAAAUUAGCCAGGCAUGGCGGUGUGCGCCUAUAAUCCCAGCUACUCGGGGGGCUGAGGUAGGACAAUCUCUUGAACCGGGGAGGUAGAGGUUGCAGUGAGCUGAGAUGGCGCCACUGCACUCCAGCCUGG
rnacentral:lncRNA from 10 species